GAUGAACGCUAGCUACAGGCUUAACACAUGCAAGUCGAGGGGCAGCAUGGUCUUAGCUUGCUAAGGCCGAUGGCGACCGGCGCACGGGUGAGUAACACGUAUCCAACCUGCCGUCUACUCUUGGACAGCCUUCUGAAAGGAAGAUUAAUACAAGAUGGCAUCAUGAGUCCGCAUGUUCACAUGAUUAAAGGUAUUCCGGUAGACGAUGGGGAUGCGUUCCAUUAGAUAGUAGGCGGGGUAACGGCCCACCUAGUCUUCGAUGGAUAGGGGUUCUGAGAGGAAGGGCCCCCACAUUGGAACUGAGACACGGUCCAAACUCCUACGGGAGGCAGCAGUGAGGAAUAUUGGUCAAUGGGCGAGAGCCUGAACCAGCCAAGUAGCGUGAAGGAUGACUGCCCUAUGGGUUGUAAACUUCUUUUAUAAAGGAAUAAAGUCGGGUAUGGAUACCCGUUUGCAUGUACUUUAUGAAUAAGGAUCGGCUAACUCCGUG
rnacentral:rRNA from 1 species